AACGAACGCUGGCGGCAUGCCUAACACAUGCAAGUCGAACGAUGCCUUCGGGCAUAGUGGCGCACGGGUGCGUAACGCGUGGGAAUCUGCCUUUCGGUUCGGAAUAACUCAGGGAAACUUGAGCUAAUACCGGAUAACGUCGCAAGACCAAAGACUUAUCACCGAAAGAUGAGCCCGCGUAGGAUUAGCUAGUUGGUGAGGUAAAGGCUCACCAAGGCGACGAUCCUUAGCUGGUCUGAGAGGAUGAUCAGCCACACUGGGACUGAGACACGGCCCAGACUCCUACGGGAGGCAGCAGUGGGGAAUAUUGGACAAUGGGCGAAAGCCUGAUCCAGCAAUGCCGCGUGAGUGAUGAAGGCCUUAGGGUUGUAAAGCUCUUUUACCCGGGAAGAUAAUGACGGUACCGGGAGAAUAAGCCCCGGCUAACUCCGUG
rnacentral:rRNA from 1 species